rnacentral:rRNA from 1 species
GAUGAACGCUAGCUACAGGCUUAGCACAUGCAAGUCGAGGGGAAACGGCAUCGAAAGCUUGCUUUUGAUGGGCGUCGACCGGCGCACGGGUGAGUAACGCGUAUCCAACCUGCCCAUCACUUGGGAAUAACCUUGCGAAAGUAAGACUAAUGCCCAAUGACAUCCCACGAAGGCAUCCGAAUGGGAUUAAAGAUUUAUCGGUGAUGGAUGGGGAUGCGUCUGAUUAGCUUGUUGGCGGGGUGACGGCCCACCAAGGCAACGAUCAGUAGGGGUUCUGAGAGGAAGGUCCCCCACAUUGGAACUGAGACACGGUCCAAACUCCUACGGGAGGCAGCAGUGAGGAAUAUUGGUCAAUGGGCGAGAGCCUGAACCAGCCAAGUAGCGUGCAGGAUGACGGCCCUAUGGGUUGUAAACUGCUUUUAUAAGGGAAUAAAGUGGGUCACGUGUGACUUUUUGCAUGUACCUUAUGAAUAAGGACCGGCUAAUUCCGUG